AGAGUUUGAUCCUGGCUCAGGAUGAACGCUGGCGGCAUGCCUAAUACAUGCAAGUCGAACGGAGUACUUCGGUACUCAGUGGCGAACGGGUGAGUAACACGUAGGUAACCUGCCCAUGUGCCCGGGAUAACGGUUGGAAACGACUGCUAAAACCGGAUAGGUAAUAACGGGGCAUCCCGAUAUUAUUAAAGGAGCUUUCGGGCUCUGAACAUGGAUGGACCUGCGGUGCAUUAGCUAGUUGGCGGGGCAACGGCCCACCAAGGCAACGAUGCAUAGCCGACCUGAGAGGGCGAACGGCCACAUUGGGACUGAGACACGGCCCAAACUCCUACGGGAGGCAGCAGUAGGGAAUUUUCGUCAAUGGGGGGAACCCUGAACGAGCAAUGCCGCGUGAGUGAAGACGGUUUUCGGACUGUAAAGCUCUGUUGCGAGAGAAAAACGGUAUGGAUAGGAAAUGAUCCAUAAGUGAUGGUAUCUCGCCAGAAAGUCACGGCUAACUCCGUGCCAGCACCCGCGGUAAUACGGAGGAUGCGAGCGUUAUCUCGAUUUUUUGGGUUUAAAGGGUGUGUAGGGUGCGCGUCAAGUCUGCGGUGUAAUGUCCGGGCUCUACCCGGAUACGUGCCGUUGAUACUUCCGUGGUGGGAUUCCGUGAGAGUGGGAGGAAUGUGUAAUGUAGCGGUGUAAAUGCAUAGAUAUAACACAGAGACCCCGAUUGGGAAGGCAUCUCAGACAGCGGGUAUUCACGCUGACGCGCGAAAGUGCGGGGAUCAUACAAGAUUAGAUCCUCUGGUAGUCCGCACAGUAAACGAUGAUAUCUAGCUGUGGGGGACAGACAGUGGGUGGACAAGCGACAGUGAUAUAGUUAUCCUCGUGGGGAGUCCGACCGCAGGGUUGAUACUCAAAGGAAUUGACGGGGGCCCCCACAAGCGGUGGAGCAUGUGGUUUAAUUAGACGCGACGAGAAGAACCUCACCAGAUCUCGUCAUCCCUCUGACUAAGAGAGUAAUGCGGUCUCCCUUCGGGGCAGAGGUGACAGGUGGUGCAUGGUUGUCGUCAGCUCGUGUCGUGAGAUGUUGGGUUAAGUCCCGCAACGAGCGCAACCCUUGUCCUUAGUAGCCAGCAGGUAAAGCCGGGCACUCUAGGGAGACUGCCGGAGAUAAUCCGGAGGAAGGUGGGGAUGACGUCAAAUCAUCAUGCCCCUUACGAUCUGGGCUACACACGUGCUACAAUGGCGUUAAACAAAGAGAAGCAACCCUGCGAAGGUAAGCAAAUCUCAAAAACAACGUCUCAGUUCGGAUUGCAGGCUGCAACUCGCCUGCAUGAAGCUGGAAUCGCUAGUAAUCGCGAAUCAGCAUGUCGCGGUGAAUACGUUCCCGGGUCUUGCACUCACCGCCCGUCA
rnacentral:rRNA from 1 species